GCGGAGGUAGCUAAGCCCGGCCCACGGCGCCGGUCUUGAAAACCGGUGGUGUCUCACCCCGGGAGUUCAAAUCUCCCCCUCCGCGCCA
rnacentral:tRNA from 1 species